rnacentral:rRNA from 1 species
UGGGGAAUCUUGCGCAAUGGGCGAAAGCCUGACGCAGCCAUGCCGCGUGAAUGAUGAAGGUCUUAGGAUUGUAAAAUUCUUUCAGCGGGGACGAUAAUGACGGUACCCGCAGAAGAAGCCCCGGCUAACUUCGUGCCAGCAGCCGCGGUAAUACGAAGGGGGCUAGCGUUGCUCGGAUUUACUGGGCGUAAAGGGCGCGUAGGCGGAUUGACAAGUUGGGGGUGAAAGCCCGGGGCUCAACCUCGGAAUUGCCUUCAAAACUGUCAGUCUUGAGUUCGGGAGAGGUGAGUGGAACUCCGAGUGUAGAGGUGAAAUUCGUAGAUAUUCGGAAGAACACCAGUGGCGAAGGCGACUCACUGGCCCGAUACUGACGCUGAGGCGCGAAAGCGUGGGGAGCAAACAGGAUUAGAUACCCUGGUAGUCCACGCUGUAAACGAUGAGUGCUAGUUGUCGGCAGGCAUGCCUGUCGGUGACGCAGCUAACGCAUUAAGCACUCCGCCUGGGGGAGUACGGUCGCAAGAUUAAAAACUUAAAGGAAUUGACGGGGUCAUAGCUGUUUCCU